rnacentral:rRNA from 1 species
AUAUUGCGCAAUGGUCGAAAGACUGACGCAGCGACGCCGCGUGUGGGAGGAAGCCCUUCGGGGUGUAAACCACUGUCGGGAGGGACGAACCGCGGACGGGCAAACAGCCCGGACGCCUGACGGUACCUCCAAAGGAAGCACCGGCUAACUCCGUGCCAGCAGCCGCGGUAAGACGGAGGGUGCAAGCGUUGUUCGGAAUUACUGGGCGUAAAGCGCGGGCAGGUGGUCUUUUAAGUCCUUUGUGAAAUCCCGGGGCUCAACUCCGGAUGUGCAGAGGAUACUGGAAGACUCGAGACUGGUAGAGGCGAGCGGAAUUCCUGGUGUAGCGGUGGAAUGCGUAGAUAUCAGGAAGAACACCGGUGGCGAAGGCGGCUCGCUGGGCCAGUUCUGACACUCAUCCGCGAAAGCGUGGGGAGCAAACAGG